UCAAGAUGAGAUUUCCCAACUUCGGUUAUAAGAUCCCUCAAAGAUGAUGAGGUUAAUAGGUUCGAGGUGGAAGUGCAGUAAUGUAUGGAGCUGACGAAUACUAAUCGAUCGAAGACUUAAUCAAUUUU
rnacentral:rRNA from 1 species